rnacentral:tRNA from 1 species
GCCUGGGUGGCUUAGUCUGGUAAGCAUCUGACUUCUGCUCAGGUCAUGAUCUCAUCGGUCGUGAGUUCAAGCCCCACAUGGGGCU